rnacentral:rRNA from 1 species
CAGGACGAACGCUGGCGGCGUGCUUCAUACGAUGCAAGUCGAACGAGAAGCUCACUUCGGUGAGUGGAAAGUGGCGGACGGUGAGUAAUAUGUAGAGAAUCUGCCCUAGAGAGAGGGACAACAGAGGGAAACUUCUGCUAAUACCUCAUAUGCGCGUAGCUGAGAUGCUAUUCGUGAAAACUCCGGUGCUCUAGGAUGAGUCUGCAUCUGAUUAGCUAGUUGGCGGUGUAAUGGACCACCAAGGCGACGAUCAGUAGCUGGUUUGAGAGGAUGAUCAGCCACAAUGGGACUGAGACACGGCCCAUACUCCUACGGGAGGCAGCAGUAGGGAAUUUUGCGCAAUGGGCGAAAGCCUGAACCGCAGCAACGCCGCGUGAAUGAAGAAGCCCUUCGGGGUGUAAAGUUCUGUCAGUGGGGACGAAACUUGACGGUACCCACAGAGGAAGCACCGGCUAACUCCGUGCCAGCCGCAGC